rnacentral:rRNA from 1 species
CACGUAGGGCGCAAGCGUUGUCCGGAAUUAUUGGGCGUAAAGAGCUCGUAGGCGGUCUGUUACGUCUGCUGUGAAAACCCGGGGCUUAACCCUGGGCUUGCAGUGGAUACGGGCAGACUAGAGGCAGGUAGGGGAGAAUGGAAUUCCCGGUGUAGCGGUGAAAUGCGCAGAUAUCUGGAGGAACACCGGUGGCGAAGGCGGCAUCCUGGACCAAUAUUGACGCUGAGGAGCGAAAGCCAGGGGAGCAAACGGG